CAGCCGCCGCGGGAAUACGGAGGGCGCGAGCGUUACCCGGAUUUACUGGGCGUAAAGGGCGUGUAGGCGGCCUGGGGCGUCCCAUGUGAAAGGCCACGGCUCAACCGUGGAGGAGCGUGGGAUACGCUCAGGCUAGAGGGUGGGAGAGGGUGGUGGAAUUCCCGGAGUAGCGGUGAAAUGCGCAGAUACCGGGAGGAACGCCGAUGGCGAAGGCAGCCACCUGGUCCACUUCUGACGCUGAGGCGCGAAAGCGUGGGGAGCAAACCGGAUUAGAUACCCCGGUAGUCCCUGUCUCUUAUAC
rnacentral:rRNA from 1 species